UGGAGAACAUCCUGUAAUAGCAACCCACCGCCACCGUGUCUACGAACUACCCCCCAAACCAUCCUCCUCCAUACUGUAGGUUUGGGUGAUACUUCAGUUGCCUUCCAAGGCUUGUACCAAACCAACCAAUUUUUCUUCGACUUUCUGUUUUUUUUUUCUCUCCAGUUCGACAAGUACGCACCUAAACUUGAGAAUCCUUACUUUCGACAUUCCAACUUCUUUCCAAGUUACCCCCCCAAUGUGCCAGGGAUUCCUUCCAUGCUCCCCCACCCAGGCCCUUUCGGGUCCCUCCAAGGAGCUUUUCAACCCAAGGUAAAUAUGGACUGGGUUUCUUCUAUCAAGCUGCUUUUAUUUUAUUUUAUUUUAUUUUAUUUGGUUCUUUCUCCAAACAAAUCGGGGCAGAGACUCAACUGGCGCGUUCAGAAAUGGUUAUU